UGGUCUGCUUCUGACAAAAAAGCAAUAGUUUUACUCAGUAUUAGGCCCUCUUGAUCUCUCUGCUGCUUUUCGCACAGUCUGAUACUUCUGGUAUGUCUGAACAGCUACCGUGGGGUCUCUGGUACAUUCCUAAAGUAGUUUGCAUGCAGUCCCUCUGGGUGCAGUCAGGGUGGUUGUGGAGAUAUUUCUUCCUCCCCAGUGAGUUACGAGGUGCCUCCCACAUGGAUAUUUCUUCCUCCCCAGUGAGUUACGAGGUGCCUCCCACAUGGCACCGUAUCUGAUUCUCUUCUGUUCACCGCAUACAUGCUGCUGUGCAAGGAUCCCGUCCGAGUAAGAUGUUGACAGUAUCACUAUUAUGGAGAUAAUACCCAUAUCUACCUCCCAUUUGUAGCUUACUUUGAUCCUAUCAGUAAUUCUUGGAUGCCAUCCUGCCUUGGAUUAGUGUAAACUGGCUGAAAAUCAGCACAUCUAGAACUGCUGCCAGGAAAUUUCAUACCAUGCUAAGAGCUUCCACAGCUGCUACCCUUAUUAUUCCUUACCUCAUCUGUGGGGGGUAAUAAACUUGUGUUUCUGUGUAAAGUACAUAAUGUCAGUUUGAUUCCCAGUGGUAAGCUGACAUUUAAUGUGCAGCUAUCAGCUGUUGUUGUACUAUGUUAGCACCAUCUGAGGAAUAUCACCCAAAUUAAGCACCUAUCUCCACCAGAUGACUUAUAGAUGGUUGCAUAUAAAUGGACUACAGCAAUGUACUUUAUCUGUGGCUUUCUAACACUAAACUCGACAGGCUGUGGAUUCUUCAGAACUCACCCCUUAAUGAAGCCCCUAGUUCCACGCAUACUGCUGUCAUCUUGUGUUCUCUACACUGGCUCCGUGGCAGGUAUCAGAGCAUGUCUGAAGUCCUUAUAAUAGUAUUUAAAGCCCUGCACAGUACUGGCCCCAACUGUUUACGGUAUCUCCUGCCGUUCUACUAACCUUCUUCUAAUCUCCUCUCAUUUGCCUUGAGGCUGAUAGUGUUCCCUGAGCUGAGGUUCAAGCCUUCUUCAUUGUGUUCCUUUUCCUGUCAAGCCAUGGCCUGUGGGAAUCACUGCACUGACAGCUCUGUGAAGGUUCUUCUGAAACAAACUUUCAAAUGAUUGUUUCAUUAGUUGAUUGGCUUCAUCCUUCUAAGCCUUUGUUUUCCUGGCUUCUCUGUUUUCUACAUUGCUUUAAAGUUAUCUUUAUUUCUUCACUAUUCAAGAUUCUUCACAGCCAUUAUCUACUUCAAAAGGCCUCUCAUUGUGAGUUGAAACAUGUAUGAUAGCUGACCAUAUCAUCUGAUCUUUGAGAGAUAAAUGUGCAGUAUUUAUCUAUUUGCCCUUCUUCAUCCUCCACCACAUGACAUGGUGUUUUAUCCCUGUGCAAGUAUUUUACUUUACAAAUGCAUACCUAAUAAGAGUAGAUAAUCUUGCAGCUAUGUCUGCUCGAUGCUGUACUGGGAUUAGAACUUGGAGGCACGUAGCUAGAUGUGCUUUCUAAUGUGACAUUUUGACACCACUGCAUUCGGCAGAGAAAUGCAUACACAUUGCAGGUGUGGUAAAUAUAAAUAUUUUAGGAAUUCCUGACAGAAGGCUAUCUGAAAAGAGAUCCCAGCUAUUAUAUUAUACAAAAAAUGCUUCUCAAAGCUCAGCUGCUGGUUAGAUAAAUCACAGAUCUUUUAUAUACAACUUAAUGGACCAUGUUUAUCAUCUGUGAUCCAAAGUACAUUUUUGCUCCCAAAGUGAAUACAUAAUAGAUCUGCAUUAUUAACUGAAGAGGUACAUCAUACCACACAUAAAUCAAAGACAAAAACAAGACUGAGAUCACCAACCUUUCAGAAGUCCAUAUAUUGGGAAUUACAGAGCCUUGACAGUAGCUAGCAUUAAACUCCGUACAGGAGGUGUGGUUAUCAGCUGAAAUACAUUUCUAAGAACAUGACUGUAAAACAAUUUUUCGAUUCAAUGAAAGAGUAUACUAUAGGUUAUUAAUUUAUCAGUGUCGUUAUGUGGCACACAUAGGGUUUUUCCUUCCGGCAUUAUAAUGUUCCCAUCCUUUGUGAUUAUUUCAAUAUGCAAUGCAUUUCACAAAAUAGUUAUUCAAUACUAUUAAUUUUACUGCUGACUUGUUAUAAUAGCUGUCAUGAUUGAAAAAUGAGCUUUGAAACUGAAAAAUCAUUUUGUUAAGAUGGACUUGCUAUACCUUUUCCUUGAACAAAGCUAAUGUAAGGGUCCAGUAUAUUUGUCAUUAUCGUUAUGAUCUGACUUUUAUAGUGCCUGCCUAGAUGGGUGACAUUUCUGCAGAAUCAUCUACCAUGCAUUCAGAAAUCCAAAGCUAUUCUGCUGCAUGCUAUUGGAACCAGUAGCUCAGUGCUGGAGAGCUAGCUGUAAUUGUUGGUUUCUUGUAGACUUUAGUUUACUGUACAUUCCAUAACACUAGUGACUGGGCUUGGAAGGAUUGAGGCAUCUAUUCUUUACUGCCCGCCUUACUGUGGAUCCAUGUUAAUUGAGUGAAUUGCUGGAAAGGAAAUUAUGAAAUGUAAGCAAAGCUUUGCUCCACAGUGAAGGUUAGAAAUUGCAGUCAGUGUAAGCCUAAAAUUUGCACAGCCUAAUGUCUGGUUAGCUAGUAUUUCAGAAUGGAGGAGAAAACAUUCAGGUACCUGGUGUGACACAUCUGGGAAAUAAGUGGCACCCUUGUGGCAUCCUUGCAUGCUUCGUUGUAAAAUAAACUGUGGAGAGGAGGAAAAAGUAGUCAGAAGAUUGUUGGCUCUCAUGAUCCCUGAUUUCCAGUCAGGUCUUCAAACCAAAACUAAACUGUAUGCACACCAGGAAUUGAAGGUCAUUUCCCUAGAUCCAUCACAGUCUUAAAUGUACGCAUUUCAUUCCAAAGAAAUUCUCAGAUUAUGCAAUUUAUCAAAUGACCUAACAUUGCAUGAUAAUGCUUUUUUUAAUAUGUAACUGAGAUGUGUAAAUGUUGAUUUGCUAUUCCUGUACUAUAAAUCCCAUUCUUUGCUGAGUCCUUUCUUCCUGACUGUAUGGUAUAGUUUGUUUAUCUUGCACCUCACACAGUCAUUGUUCAAACAAUUCAAAAUACUGGGCUCCUUUUGCUGUAGAAAGAGUAAAGCUUUAAAAAACUGCCUGGCAAACUUGCCAAUGAAGGGUCUAUCUAAUGGGACAGAGGUUGUAGUUUUCAUUUUAUGUACUAUUAAAAUGUUCAGAUGUGAGUUUUUGUUUGUUUACAAACUGUUUACAAUGGCACAGUUUAUUUUUUAAGAUUAUAAAUAUAUAAAAAUAUAUAUAAUACAUUUGAGGUAUUUAUUGCAUACUAUUUUACAAAAGUUUUAAGUGUUUUCACCUUUGGAAUAUAUUGUUACAUUUCCUGGUAUAAAUAUUUGGGUGAUCUUGUUAAUAUAGCUAGUAAUUUUUAUGACUACUAAGUGACCAGUUUCUCUGUGCCUUUUAAUGUUGAGUGCAUGAUUACAUAUUUAUUACUGUAUGAAAGUCACUGAGAUAUGUAUUUUUGUAUUUUGCAGAGAGCAGUGAUGUCUAUUUUGAGAUGCCUUCUCUGUCAAGGCACUCAGUUAAGAUCUUCCUAUUCAAAUAAACAGAAAGUAUUCACUGCUAAA